AUUCCAUAUUUUAUCCGUGGUGUAAUAUCAUUCCGGUAUCGGUGUCAAAAUUGAGUUCCUAUAUUUAUAUAUUCGAAAGGUGUUUUUAUAAAAUAUUUUUAUUUCAAUCCAAGUUCUAUAUUUAUGUUUAAAAAAAAGUUAUAUAAAUAUUUUAAAUUAUGUUGAUUUUUAUUAACGAAAUUAUCAAAAAAGGCAAUCUUAAGAAAUAUAAUGUAAUGGUUUAAAUAAAAUAGCUAAGUGAAACGAAGGUUAGAAUGAGAAGUAUUGUUAACAUUUUGAAAAUUUUUGUCGCUUUUUUUUAUGAUUAUGCACGAGGAUUAUCGUACACUAUUAUUACGAUUUUGGUUUUGGGUUAUUGUUUACACCCGGCUCGAUUUGCUUCACAUUAUACUUUUAUAAAAACAGAAGAUAUUUACGAUGAAAUGGAAAAAUCUUAUCCAGCAAGGGAUAAUUCAUGCACAAUCACGAUCAAUCAUCAAAAAUCUCAAUUGCUUUAUCCCGAAGAACAUCCUCGAGAAGACCCUAUAGCAAUGGCGCGACGAUUAGGUAUAUUACCUGGAGGACAAUGGAAACCAUUAAAUUGUCACCCUCUUUUCAAUGUGGCUAUUAUUUUACCAUAUAGAAAUCGUCAAACACAACUUACUAUUUUUAUGAAUUAUAUUCAUCCUUUUCUACAAGCCCAAAAUCUUGAUUAUAGAAUAUUUGUGAUAGAACAAAGUCCAAUGCGUGAAUUUAAUCGUGCUAAACUUUUCAAUGUUGGAUAUGCAGAAGCAACUAAAGUAAAUGACUUUCAUUGUUUCAUCUUUCAAGAUGUAGAUCUCAUACCUCAGAAUCCUGAUAACAUUUAUGCUUGCACUAAGAUGCCCAGACAUAUGAGUUCAAGUGUAAAUACAUUUCGUUACAAUUUACCAUAUAGUGGUUUAUUUGGAGGUGCAAUAGCAUUAACUCGAAAACAAUUUGAAAGAGUUAAUGGAUUUUCAAAUGUUUUCUAUGGAUGGGGUGGAGAAGAUGAUGAUUUUUAUAGCCGUUUACAAUCAAAAGGUCUUCAAGUUACACGUUUUGGACCUGAUAUUGCUCAGUAUUAUAUGUUAGUACACAAAAAAGAAUCUCCAAGUAGUGCUAGGUUUGAAAAUCUUGAAAAUAGCGCUAAAAGAUAUGAUACUGAUGGAAUUAGUAAUUUAGAAUACAGAGUUCUGAAUCAUCAACUAAGGCCAUUGUAUUCUUGGAUUUUAGCAGAUGUUUAGUUUUGGUGGUUUAUCUACAUGGCAAUCUUUUGGUAUACUGUACUGCAUCAAGGCACGAUAUUGGUCCUGCAGCAUCAGUACUCCCUGAAACAGAGAAUUUCAGUGUUAUCCCGUCCAAUAUCCUCCCAAAGCAGUUGUUUAUCCCGUAAACUUUCUUCUUGGUUGACGAAAUUAUAGUUUUUUUUUUCUACUUCAUAGCUUUCCGUCUCGAAUGAACAAUAAAGAAAAUGUCUUGGUUUUAUAAUGUGGGCCAUUCCACACGACUUGCGGACCGAUUACAUAGUAUGUGCACAGCCAUGGCCAUGGGGAAGGCCAAAGGGCUGCGUUACCGUGCCUUGCCGCCACGGGGCGUCGGUGGCACGCGUACAACGCAUCGGUUGGGUAUCUGGACUGAACUUCUUUCUACCUGUUUCAUCUCCAUCCACCGUGCGGCCUCCUGAGUCGCGUUAAACUCGACGAAUGCAAAACCUCGCGAAGCACCUAUACAGAGCAAAUACACACAUAUCCAAAGUUAAUCCACGUUUUGCCUGGGAGUCUCUACUCUGAGAGGGCAGGCAAUCACAGCACCAACCAUUGACAGACUGAGUUUUGAACGAAGUAUUUUCUUCGCUUCGUCGCUUGCUUUCAUUUCCAUUUGCCUAAAGCUCAGCAGAAUGAAUUCUACACGGGUGACAGACGAUUUCUUUGGUAUCUUUACGCGAACUUUAGUUUACUUUAAUGAUAAACCUACUAAAAUCUUUUAAUCUCC